rnacentral:lncRNA from 1 species
UCUGAUCACAAAAAUAAAACUCAAGUGGGGGUAAUCUUGUCUAGUAUAAUCUUUAAUGUCUAUUGAGAUGCAUUAAAUUUUAUCCGAUCACGAUGACGCCGACAUCUGAUGAUCUCCGAUUUUGGUUACAAAGAUAAAAUUACCGAGAUGUGAAAUCCAAACGAUUUAGAAGAAUUGAUUUGAUAAUGACUUUAAAAAAAUAUUCGUUCAAUACAAUUGAUAACAACCUAAGUGCUGUAUUGUACCUGAAUAUGCAUUGGUCACGCAAAUGCGAUACAAUCAUGAUGAUCGAGAUCGAUGAUUUUGUUGUAGUGUUUGAUUAAUUCAUUUUCGUAAAAAUUUGGCUAGAUUGAGUUUACAAUACUUCUUGAUCAGGAUAAAUUUUAUUAUUUGAAUGAUACUUUUUUGUCUGCUUAAAUGUCUAUCGAUAUACAAUCAAUUUUAUUUUAAUUAUAAUUGAUAUACUCUAUAAUAUGUAACAGAUGUACGGUUUGAUCACCCCAAAGGAACUCAGGUAGUACUCAAGUGGUCCAUUAUAUGUCUUUAAUGCCUUGUGAUAAAGUUAAAAGUCAUCUGAUCAUGCGAUCGCUGAUAUACGAUGAUUUUCGAUUUUGGUAAAAAUUGAUGAAAUUAAUAAUUUAAAAUCCUAAUAGUUCAGAUAGAGCAUCAUAAAAAUUGGCCUUGCAACUGCCUUUUAAUUUCAUAUGUUCAACCUACUUGUUUGUAAACUAAAUCUUGCGUUGUAAUUGACUUUAUAAUAGUCACAAGACUGCGAUAUAAUCAUAACGAUCAAAACCACUAAUGUUUUUGCGCUUGUCAAUGAUAUUAUUCUCAUAAAUUUUGAGCUCCAUCGGAUAUAGAAAUCCUCUUCAUUAGAAUACAAUUUCUUUCUGUUAAGGCAUGUGAUAUGACAUAACAAAAUGUGUUAAUUAUGCAUAUUUUAUUUUUUCUUUGUAAACGCCCUUUGUGAUUGAAGUCCAACUUAUUUUAUUCAAUAUCAAUCUUUCUAAAAGAUAUACGCCUUCUUGAUUAUUCUUUCACAGUGACCCUGAAUACCACUUCCAAUCAAGGACAUUGAGAGCACUAUAAACUUUUUUUAAAAUAAUUACCAUGGCAAAAGACAAGUAUUUAUCACGUCAAAGACCCCGAAGUAAAAGUUUCAAAGUAAUUAGAUAUUUUUUUACCUUGAGAUGGGAUAUGGGGGUAAAAAUAUUAGAAGUAAAAGAGUUUAUUUUCUUGGCAAAAAAAUCCCCAAGCAAAAGUUUAGUAGAAAAAUAGCAAUAAGACUCUGUUUUAUGCGAUUGAUAGAGUUAAUUUUACGCUUGUUUUAUUUUGGAAAAUAAUUUAUACAUUUUUAAAAUUGAUUUCUGCACUCCGAAUUUUAUAAAAGUAAGAGAACAAAAAUUAAUAUCAAUACUCUUAUUUAGAGUGUAGAAAUUAAUUUUAAGAGUGUAAAAAUCAUUUUUCUUUUUUUUUUUUUCACUUUUCCCCCUUUUUCCAUUUGAAAAAGCCCUAGCGCUCUCUCUCUCUGCGCUCCCGACACAGAGCCACCGCGCGACUCCGCUGUCGUGGAUGGACGGUCUGGUGGCCGAUCGACGUCCCCGUCGCGCGCCUCUCCCUUUAUACGGCGAUUGACAUCGCCGUAGCUGCUGUCACGUCGUCUCCACCGUCACCUUCUCUGGUAAUUUCUCUCUCUCUCUGUCUCUCAUGAUCUCUCUCUUUUUUUUCUGCUUCUGCUCGGUUCUCUCUCUGUAUUUUCAUCUAUGGCUGGGAUGGGCUAGGGCUAGGGUUGCGGUGCUGCUGGACAGGCGCGAUGGGCUUGGGGUGGGGUGGGACUACGCCAGGUUUGCGACGGGCCAGGGCUGGGCUUGGGUUAGGGUCUGGGUCUGGCUUAGUGUUGUCAUUCUGGUGUAGUGUUUUUGUGGGGAAGCCACUUAAUGCCCCUAAAAUAAUCCGCGAUUUUGAAGCUGCUGUUGAUACCUACUUCGCGAUGUGUGAUGUUUUUUUUUGAAUUUACUCGCUUGUCAUCUGUACAAGAAUCGCCGUUUUUUUGCUAACUGAUUCAGGAAAUUCUGCUCUUGGGAGAAGUAUAAGCUUUUGGCAUUCGAUAAACCCUUGGAUUCGCAACCCCCUUUUUCUCCAAUACGGCUACAAUGAAAAAUUUUGUAAGGACUUCAACAAUUCCUUGGAGCUCUGUGUGAGGACCUCAUGAACCGUAGCGGAGCCAGGAUUUGGGUCGGGGGGCAAACAUUAACCCAAAGAGUUACUAUAUGUACAAAAAUUUAAAUACAUAUGCGGACCCAAAAAAAAAAACAACAAACACAAUUCUUAAUAAUACCAAUAUUAUUAAUAGAAUUUGAAAAUAGGUAUCAAUUCAUUAAUUGAUUAUGGCUCCGUUUCGGCACCAGUUUUUUUGUGGUUUUGUGGCAAAAUAAGCAAAAAAACCAACUUUGAUUGGCUUUUUUGACUUCUAUUUUUGCUUUUUUUUUUUUUUUUGCUU